AUCUUCCGCAAUGGGCGAAAGCCUGACGGAGCAACGCCGCGUGAGUGAGGAAGGCCUUCGGGUCGUAAAACUCUGUCUUCAGGGAAGAAAAAAAUGACGGUACCUGAGGAGGAAGCCCCGGCUAACUACGUGCCAGCAGCCGCGGUAAAACGUAGGGGGCGAGCGUUGUCCGGAAUUACUGGGCGUAAAGGGCGCGUAGGCGGUUAUUUAAGUCAGAGGUGAAAACUACCGGCUCAACCGGUAGCCUGCCUUUGAAACUGGAUGACUUGAGGGCAGGAGAGGGGAGUGGAAUUCCCAGUGUAGCGGUGAAAUGCGUAGAUAUUGGGAGGAACACCAGUGGCGAAGGCGGCUCUCUGGCCUGUUUCUGACGCUGAGGCGCGAAAGCGUGGGGAGCAAACGGG
rnacentral:rRNA from 1 species